rnacentral:rRNA from 1 species
AAAUUCAUCUCAAGCACGCUGAACGUAGUUGUUCCCUAUGGAUCACUGAAGUUAAGUAACGUUGCGCUUGGUUGGUAUCCUGAGGGGUGACCAUCUGGACAAUCGAGUGCUGCUGCCU